rnacentral:rRNA from 1 species
AGCGAACGCUGGCGGCAGGCCUAACACAUGCAAGUCGAACGAAGCUUUCGGGGUUAGUGGCGGACGGGUGAGUAACACGUGGGAACGUGCCUUUAGGUUCGGAAUAACUCAGGGAAACUUGUGCUAAUACCGAAUGUGCCCUUCGGGGGAAAGCUUUGUCGCCUUUAGAGCGGCUCGCGUCUGUUUAGCUAGUUGGUUGAGGUAAUGGCCCACCAAGGCGACGAUCAGUGGCUGGUCGGAGAGGAGGAUCAGCCACAUUGGGACUGAGACACGGCCCAAACUCCGACGGGAGGCAGCGGUGGAGAAUCUUGCGCAAUGGGCGAAAGCCUGACGCAGCCAUGCCGCGUGAAUGAUGAAGGUCUUAGGAUUGUAAAAUUCUUUCACCGGAGACGAUAAUGACGGUACCCGGAGAAGAAGCCCCGGCUAACUUCGUG